rnacentral:snRNA from 1 species
AGCUUUGGGCAGUGGCAGUAUUGUAGUCAAUGAGGUUUAUCUGAGGCACAAUUAUUGCUAAUUGAAAAACUGCAAUCUUGUAAUACAUGGGACUGCAUGAUUGAA